CUUGGGUUAAAAUCUUGAAGGUUUUAUUUAUUUGUUGGUCAAAUAUCUUAUUUAUUGUAGUCUACAUGGUUGAAGAAGAAAUUAAGUGUAGGCUGCUGCCCACACUAGACUCUAUGUAGGUCGUCCGCUAAUGCAUACUCCAUGUCACCUAGUUCUCCAAUUAAGUUGUUCACGUGCUAGGCUUGAAAUUUCUCCACACGUGAGUGGGUGUGUGAGGGUGUGAAGAGUUGUCCCACAUCGGAAAUUAAGGACUUUGCAUGGGCUUAUAAGGAGUUGGGCCACUCCCCAUUGUCAAUUUAUUUUUGGUUAUCUCAACUUAAAGAGAUCAACAAAAGCACAUCAUUCAUCAUAAAAGGGGAAUGCUAGCAACCUUUUCUCUAACAUUCUCUUUUGGACCUUCUCCCUUUUUCCCAUGCCAUGUGUCAC
rnacentral:lncRNA from 1 species